AUUAGAUACCCUGGUAGUCCACGCUGUAAACGAUGAUUACUAGGUGUGGGGGGGGCUGACCCCUUUCCGUGCCGCAGUUAACACAAUAAGUAAUCCACCUGGGGAGUACGGCCGCAAGGUUGAAACUCAAAGGAAUUGACGGGGGCCCGCACAAGCAGUGGAGUAUGUGGUUUAAUUCGAAGCAACGCGAAGAACCUUACCGGGUCUUGACAUCCUAAGAAUCCUUAAGAGAUUAGGGAGUGCCCUUCGGGGAACUUAGAGACAGGUGGUGCAUGGUUGUCGUCAGCUCGUGUCGUGAGAUGUUGGGUUAAGUCCCGCAACGAGCGCAACCCUUAUCAUUAGUUGCUACGCAAGAGCACUCUAGUGAGACUGCCGUUGACAAAACGGAGGAAGGUGGGGAUGACGUCAAAUCAUCAUGCCCCUUAUGGCUUGGGCUACACACGUGCUACAAUGGCGUAACAAAGGGAAGCGAACCUGUGAGGGGGAGCAAAUCCCAAAAAUAACGUCCCAGUUCGGACUGUAGUCUGCAACCCGACUACACGAAGCUGGAAUCGCUAGUAAUCGCGAAUCAGAAUGUCGCGGUGAAUACGUUCCCGGGUCUUGUACACACCGCCCGUCACACCAUAAGGGUCGGGAAUGCCCGAAGUCAGUGACCCAACCUUUGUUUAAAAGUGCCGAAGGCAGGUCUGAUAACUGGGGUGAAGUCGUAACAAGGUAGC
rnacentral:rRNA from 1 species